rnacentral:rRNA from 1 species
CCUACGGGUGGCAGCUGUGAGGAAUAUUGGUCAAUGGACGCGAGCCUGAACCAGCCAAGUAGCGUGAAGGAUGACGGCCCUACGGGUUGUAAACUUCUUUUGUAAGGGAGUAAAGUGCGGCACGUGUGCCUUUUUGUAUGUACCUUAUGAAUAAGGAUCGGCUAACUCCGUGCCAGCAGCCGCGGUAAUACGGAGGAUCCGAGCGUUAUCCGGAUUUAUUGGGUUUAAAGGGUGCGUAGGUGGGUUGUUAAGUCAGUGGUGAAAGUUUGCGGCUCAACCGUAAAAUUGCCAUUGAUACUGGGAGGCUUGAGUGCAGUUGAGGUAGGCGGAAUGCGUGGUGUAGCGGUGAAAUGCUUAGAUAUCACGCAGAACUCCGAUUGCGAAGGCAGCUUACUAAGCUGCAACUGACGUUGAUGCACGAAAGCGUGGGUAUCAAACAGGAUUAGAUACCCCGGUAGUC